rnacentral:rRNA from 1 species
UUUGAAGAGAGAGUUCAACAGUACGUGAAACCGUUCAGAGGGAAAGGGGUGGGCCCUCGAAGCCCUGUGGCGGAGAGAUUCAGCGUCGGGAGGUUGCGUGCGCUUCCGACUGCGGGCGAUCGCAAGGUCGCCUCGUAGUCGCGUCGCUAAAUCGUUUUCGUCCGGUGCGCAUUUCUUUCCGUCCGAAGGACGUCGCAACCGAUCGGGGUACGGCCAAGAGAGGCCGGGCGGCAGUACGCCGGUGAUCCUACCGCUGGGUCGCCGGUAUGUGGUCGCUCGUACGGUUCGGAAGUCGGACCCCGAUCGAGGUACUGGCUCGGAGAAGAGAGGAUAGACUUCGGUUUUUUUUUUCUCUUCUUCCGGGCGGUGAAUCGCCUCCUCCAAGCGAAGCGAACUGGCCGGGUCUCGGUUUCCCCGGGCUCUUGCGGAAACACGACGGCAACGUCGUGUUCCGCUCAGACCGGACUGGUUACCGCUCUCGGAUUUCGUUCGCAGGAGCGUCGGUGGUUUGCGGCGAGUAGGUC